UCGGGAAUUUUGGGCAAUGGGGGAAACCCUGACCCAGCAACGCCGCGUGAAGGAUGAAGUACUUCGGUAUGUAAACUUCGAAAGAAUAGGAAGAAUAAAUGACGGUACUAUUUAUAAGGUCCGGCUAACUACGUGCCAGCAGCCGCGGUAAUACGUAGGGACCAAGCGUUGUUCGGAUUUACUGGGCGUAAAGGGCGCGUAGGCGGCAUGACAAGUCACUUGUGAAAUCUCUGGGCUUAACCCAGAACGGCCAAGUGAUACUGUCGCGCUAGAGUGCAGAAGGGGCAAUCGGAAUUCUUGGUGUAGCGGUGAAAUGCGUAGAUAUCAAGAGGAACACCUGAGGUGAAGACGGGUUGCUGGGCUGACACUGACGCUGAGGCGCGAAAGCCAGGGGAGCAAACGGGAUUAGAUACCCUGGUAGUCCCUGAGCGGGCUGGCAAGGCGCAU
rnacentral:rRNA from 1 species